CAAAAGUUAAACACUUGGGGAACGGACUCGCCUUUCGGGGCUCGAGGCCUGACUCCAUUUGUAACAAACUUUCAACCACUUGUGAAUUUGUAACAAAUUUUCUCACCAAUUGACUGUUAACGAAGUCUGAUUCAAAUUGCAUUGGUGUUUUAUAGACACUAGUAAAAUAUGAAAA
rnacentral:misc_RNA from 1 species